UACUGACGCAUGCAGGAAGCGUUUUCCAGUCAGCAGUGCUGUAGUAGUACAUGAAGCGGAGGGACACAUGUUUUCCUGAAUAAAUACAGGGCUUGCAAAUGAUAAAGAUGAUAACAAGGAUGAUACAACUGAAAACUGAGACACUCUUUUGCGUUUGAUGGCUGGCAGAUGACAGAACAUUAAGUGAAGUGUCAUACUAAAUUCAGGAAAAUGCAAGCAUGUCUUGCAAAAGAGAAAUCUGUGUGGAGCUUAUCUACAGGAAUAAAGUAAAGUGGAAACCAGGGGUUCUUCUGCUUGUGUGUGUGUGGCUCCUGUGCUCACAGUCAGUGUCCAGCAGCAACCAAAGCUCUCGAGGCCAAACCGGUCGGUCUGAAGUUAAGCCGGGAACCUGUGAAGUGGUGGCAGCUCAUCGUUGCUGUAAUAAGAAUAAAAUAGAGGAGAGAUCUCAGACGGUCAAGUGCUCAUGUCUCCCUGGACAGGUUGCUGGGACCACCCAUGCCCAACCUUCAUGUGUUGAUGGUAUGCCCACUGUCCACGGUCACAGCUUUUUAUAUUAAUUUUUGUGAUGCUGCUUCUACACCAAUAGGUAUCAGUACAGUCCAUAACUGUCAUAUUGGUCAAAACAAACAAAUAAAUACUUGUAUGACAGCAU